CAAGCUUACUGUUAUAUGUCGUGCAUUUACACCGGAGACGUCUUAUGCCAGUGUGUAAAGUCUAUGCUUUUUCUUUCUCUCUUUAUCGACCAAUAUCCAGUUUGCUUUCUGCACAAACUAGUAUGGAAGUGUUAUAAGUUCAACUCCUAGCUGUUCAUGCCGCCGAGAUACUGCAUCAAGAGGUUCAGUGCGAACAAGCAUUCCUGCAUAGACAUUGUCACGCUCAAGACUAAAACACAAUGGAAUUAAUGUGAGGGUAAUGACUCAGACUUGAGGGGCACCUAUUGAACUUUGUUUACAUAUAUUAAAAAUAUUGUGCUUCGUGUGUUUAAGAACUUACAGACAGAUUGACAAUUUCAAUGGUUGUGAUUAUUUGGUACCACACACUAGUGGAAGCAGCAGUUGACCUUGAAUGUAAUGAUAUUCAAGGUCUGUUGAUGUUGGCAUCAGUUAGAAUAUGCCCAAGAUUGUGCACAGAUUCAUAAAUUACCUUCAAAAUUUUCUCCAAUCAAUUUUUGCAAUUAUUAAUACAUUUCCACAUCUCUAUUCUUUAGGAAUGAUAAUCUUACCAAAAUAAUUUUUAAUCUUAUUAAGUAAUAGAAAACUAUUGACUUUCGGAAUAAGCACAACAGUCGGAGAGAUCAGAGAAACAGGUUACCUCAAGAAGUGUGCUCUGCUCUAUUGUUUAACGUACAAGCAAUGGCCAAUCUUGUCCUCUCGAAGGCUGUAGCACUGGCAAAAUAUUGUACAGUAAAAAAAUUAAUUAAUUAAGCUGUAGCUAAAAUUCCUUUAUGUUUGCGAGUGUAAGAACUGAUGUGCUUUUACAUUAAGUACAAUUUUUUUUCUUUGAUUUUGUGAAGUAUGGUAUGGCAUGUAAAUAAAUAAACCUGUUGCAAGCCAUUGUA